rnacentral:ncRNA from 2 species
CCUGCAAAAGAUCGCGUCGGUGCCCCGAGAGGGGCUUAAUCGGGAAUGCGGUGCGGGGCUUUGCCCCAAGUCCGCAGCUGUCCCUGCAACUGUAAGUGGCGAGCGCGAUGCACUGUUCCCCGCACGACGGGGAUGGCCACUGGGCCCCAAGCGGGCCUGGGAAGGCGUGCAUCAAGCCCUGACCCACGAGCCAGGAGACCUGCCGGCGCACUGGUCGCUCU